GCGGUCAUCGUUCAGUGGCAGGAUUUGAGUCCGCCAGUCUCAAGACGCGGGUUCGAUUCCCGCUGACCGCUCCA
rnacentral:tRNA from 1 species